rnacentral:rRNA from 1 species
UACGUAGGGUGCGAGCGUUGUCCGGAAUUAUUGGGCGUAAAGGGCUCGUAGGCGGUCUGUUGCGUCGGGAGUGAAAACUCAGGGCUUAACCCUGAGCCUGCUUCCGAUACGGGCAGACUAGAGGUAUGCAGGGGAGAACGGAAUUCCUGGUGUAGCGGUGAAAUGCGCAGAUAUCAGGAGGAACACCGGUGGCGAAGGCGGGUAGCUGGGCCGACACUGACGCUGAGGCGCGAAAGCCAGGGGAGCGAACGGG